GGGAAAGGAUCUCUUCUGGAGAUUUCUCCUCUGGAGUUUUGCACCAAGCCCAGGACGCUUAUGAAGACAUACAAGAUGAAAGAAAAUUCAGUAACUGCAGAAUAUAUCUCUUAAUUCUUCCCGGAACUGCAGUACCUGAUUCUGGAAAGGCCAUAACUUCUUUCUUACAUCUGACAACUUUAUUGAAGAGCUGUGGGUGCCUUGUUGACUUGCUUUUACUGAAGGUCUGAGCAAUUCUGCUGCAUCAGAUUUCAGGAGAUCUUCACUGGCCUGAACAAAGUGCCACCAGCAUUUUUACUUCUAGAUUUCUAGAGAGCUUGACAUAGGUAAACUGCUUUACUACCUGUGGAUGUGAAUUCAUAGAAGAAACUGAUGGGGACAAGAGAACCUGCAUUCCUUGCAAGAUCCCUGGAGCUGCUUCAUGUGAAAUAUCAUCCAGUCUCUCCUGAGACUAUUCAUGUCAACUGCAGCAGUCUUUCUGAUAGGUGUGCACAUUAACAGCAGGAAAGAGAAAAGAUAUGGAAUUCCCAAAUAUGGAUGAAUUUGUUUUUCUUCUGCUGCUGAUGGUGGGACUGCAAUACUGAAGGACUUGUUUAUGAAAAUGCUAUUGCAAAUGUGAGAAUCAGAACAUGCCUACCUACCUAGCAGAACUACGUAGGAAACUUGGGUAAUUAUCAGUGUUGAACGAAAUUAUCUCGUAAAAUAAACAUGCGUGGACAAAUGGUUUAAGAAUUAAAAGAAAAUCAGAAUAUUGCAUUAUAACAUGAAAUUGUUUGUCUAAACUCAUGUUUAGAAACUGAGCAAAAAAGCAGUGUACAAAUGAGUACUAUUAGUUCAUUACGGACAAAAGUUUUCUAUUUAUACUGAACAGCAAAUAAUAUUUACUAUCACUAAUAAGAUGGGAAUUGAUCUUGACAAAUGAAAGAGCUAAAAAUGCUUAGAAUAUAUCUUAAUUAUAGCAAAUAGCUGUGGAGUUGUUUUUGGUUUUGUGGGUUUCCACACUUCUAUUAUUUUAAACUAGUUUUGAUGCUAAAGUAAAUAGUUGACAUAAAAGUUUAUUCCAGUAUUUUGGUGCAGUUUUCAUACAAGGUAAGAGAAGGUCUCUGUAGACCAUCACAAGUGCUGUUUCAUUUCAUCAUGACAAUGAAAUGCAUACAUAGUCUCAAUAGAGUUUUUCUGUCAAUUUGGUGAGAUUGUUGUGAUAUUUGCAAGCCCCUGUAGUGAAUAAGGAAUUGAUAUUCAUGACAGCUUGGAGUUAUUAUAGUCUGCAUUUAGUAAUUCUUUCUAAUUCACAUAAUACUUUGGACACUGUGCACUAGAUAUCUAAAACUUCCUUCAAAUUAUCAAUAGGACUAGUAAGACAAUCCGUACAGCUCUGUGAAACUGAUCCUGGUUUUAUAUUUGUUUCUUUAGUUGCUUAUUAUGUAAACAUCAAGAAAGGGUAAAAAUGAAUGUGCUGUUUAGCGGAAGGCUUUUUACAUUUUGAAAUCACCACCCUUCCUAAGGAGAAAACAUUUUUCUUUUGUUUGAAUAAAUGUGUGUAUGGAACACUUGAAAACUUAGGUCUCCAUCUGGAUGAAAAUAGUGUUGGUUUGAAAUAUUUUACGUGCUUUUUUUCCGAGGCUUAACAGCCCUGUCUGUAGAAGCUGGGACAGACAGAGCUGAUAAGCUGCAUUGUUAUAGAAACCAGACUGUCCCUGCGUCAUCCACUGACCUGCUCAUUGAACUGAGAGCAGUUAGUUGUAUGACACUGGCUACAGGCAGCAUGCUAUUUUUAACGAUCUUUGUAAGCUAUGGGAGACCUAUAUCUUUGAUUUCUGUCUGGAGUUCUUCCAGCCCAGUUUCAAGAGAGAGUUCUUAUUAUUAACUCUGAGGGGAGAAGUAUUUCAUGUUUAUGUUUUCAUUCAAGAGCAUUACCGUUAAGACUUAUAGAAAAUAAGUGAAUUAUAGUUAUUCUUUGGCUGCGUUAUGGAUUAUUGCAGUGCAAUAUGAGCUCACAGACCUAUAACAGGAUAAAGUCAUAAUAAAGGAUCCAUUCCAUCUCUUAUUGAAAUGAGUGGGAACAUUUUCUGAUUUCACAUGGAGUUUGAUUUGCGUAACAAAAGUCUUACUGAGAAAUGCUUUGUUGAUCAAAUGAAAUCUAGUAAUUGUUAUAUUUUGUUGCAAAGUCUGGAUGGUGAUACAGUUACAGAAGUUCUCUGUUUAGGUGCAUGUACUGUAUUUCAGAUUGUCAAGUCAUCACUAUUUUUAUUAAGACUAAGAAACAUAAAUUGUAUAAUAGUUAAAGUCUUGCUUAACAGCUACAGGCAGUUUAUUCUGAUUUUUGUUUUUCAUUCUAUAGUAGUACUGUUCUGUGUUAGAAUGCAGUGUUUCUCCCACAGAUAUUUAAGAUUUUUCUUGAGUAGAAUCUGAAGAGAGGCUCUGCCUAGGGUAGUUGUACCUAAAGGAACAUACAUACAUUUCAACUUUUUCAUUCUUCUGCAAGCAUCCUGAAGUGACAAUUGCCUAAUAAUUGGAAAAUAGAAAUCAUAUUAGAUAAUUUAUGUUUGUCUUGAUUCAAGUGUCAUGAAAAAAAAAUUUGUCCUAUGUCAUGUGUAAGAAUGUGUGAACUACCUUUGAUAUACUUUCUG